rnacentral:tRNA from 1 species
GCGGGUGUGGCGGAAUUGGCAGACGCGCCAGAUUUAGGUUCUGGUAUCUCCGAUGUGCAAGUUCAAGUCUUGUCACCCGUACCA